GACGAACGCUGGCGGCGUGCUUAACACAUGCAAGUCGAACGGAAAGGCCCUGCUUUUGUGGGGUGCUCGAGUGGCGAACGGGUGAGUAACACGUGAGUAACCUGCCCUUGACUUUGGGAUAACUUCAGGAAACUGGGGCUAAUACCGGAUAGGAGCUCCUGCUGCAUGGUGGGGGCUGGAAAGUUUCGGCGGUUGGGGAUGGACUCGCGGCUUAUCAGCUUGUUGGUGGGGUAGUGGCUUACCAAGGCUUUGACGGGUAGCCGGCCUGCGAGGGUGACCGGCCACAUUGGGACUGAGAUACGGCCCAGACUCCUACGGGAGGCAGCAGUGGGGAAUAUUGCACAAUGGGCGGAAGCCUGAUGCAGCAACGCCGCGUGCGGGAUGACGGCCUUCGGGUUGUAAACCGCUUUCGCCUGUGACGAAGCGUGAGUGACGGUAAUGGGUAAAGAAGCACCGGCUAACUACGUG
rnacentral:rRNA from 1 species